GAUAUUUGUAACCACUUUUGGUAUUGUUGCAAGACUGCAGAUAACCCUGAUCAAUUUUUUUGUAAGUAUAAUAGAAGUGCAAUUGCAUCGACCUAGAAACCUGAUUGUAUUGAGAAUUUUUGUGAAUAUGACCUCAUGCCUCUUAAAUUUGUAACUGGUUUUACUCAGGACAUGUGGACUGGACUCCUCCACCAUGUGACAGGAAAACAUUCCUGGGCCUUGGGUGCCUGUCAUCAUGGCCUCUUGAUUGAAAACAGUGAGAAGGAGUUGAUCAAGAGCCAUUCAGUUGCACACCAGAAACUGUCAUUAAUUGUUUUGGAUGGACGCUGGCUGAAAAAAGUCCACAAAUAUUUAAACUUCAGGUAUAUCAGCACGUCUAUGUUCAACUUACGGAUUAGUCCUCCAAUUACUUUUUGUAAUAUAAAUAUGAUACUUAUUAUAUUAUGUGUCUUGAAUUUUAUAUUACAAAAAAGUAAAGCAAAUGUAUAUGGUUUAAAUGUGUUCUUAGGUCAACUGCAGAGCUGGAGUCCUUUCAUAAUCACAUACUCAUGUAUGCAAGCAAGCGCUUCAGCUUCUCCCCACCAGUUUACGCAGCUCGAGCAAUGCUGGCUGGCCUGGACUACAACUACCACAUCCACAGACUACCAAAGAAGAACACUGAUGGCUCCAUUCAGUUGUUUAAUAAAAAAUCCAAGAAGUGGAGCCUCUACACAGUAAAAGAAGACAAAGACUGGCUACAUCCCAGACCUCCAGAGUGCAAUCCUUAGGAAAAGGUUGUCUGCUGUGGGAGGGUUGCCACGGACCAUAACAAGGAGGCCUGACGAUCCCCGUCAAUAUGGGGUUCCGUCAGGUGUCCCUGCUCCAGCCACCCAGGACCUGUUGCAGAUGCAACUGAGCAGAGGGCGAGGUGAG
rnacentral:lncRNA from 1 species